GCGAGUUACAGGGAUCAGAAAAACAGGGUAAUGAUGACCAAGUGCACGUGUCUGUAAUGUUUUCUUAUUCCCUGGUAACCUUAUGACAUAGUUCUAAUUCAACCACAAAUAUAACAGAGGAGCACCUGCAAUAUAGAGCUCAGCUCAAUGUGGGCACGUGAUCCUGAGGUUGUUAUUCUUAAAACCGUCAUUGUCAAGAAAUAUUUAAAAUGUAGUCAGUGGUAUGCUGAUAAAUGUAUAACAAUUGACUUUCCUUGGGGAGAGCCCUGACUUGCGUAGCUGGUUCCUAUGGUGUGGAUACUUUCAUCAUGUCUAAUUUCCAACUGCCUAUGUGAAGGCACUGAACCAUAGCCUUCAGAAGGAAUCAAUCCUCCUGACACCUUGAUCUUUAAACUUUUAGCCUCCAAAACUGAGACAAUAUAUUUCUGUUCUUUAACCCAGAAAAAAAAUGAACAGACAACGAAGGUCUGCAAAUGCAUAAUUUAUAUAAAACUCUAGGAAACUCAGACUAAUCUAUAGGGCAGAGGCUGCAGUGACCCGAGAUCGCACCACUGCACUCCAGCCUGGGUGAUAGAGCAAGACUCCGUCUCAAAACAAAGAAGAAAGACAGAUUCAAACCUGGCCUGAGUAGAAGUUUUUGGCCUGGAUUUUAAUCAACACAACCAUUGUUUUCAAGUCAAGGCCAAAUUCUUGUGACACAUAAUACAAAAUUUAUGAACUUACUGAAACUGAUUUAUAGCACUGGACUUGUGGUCUUUCUAUUUGACCAACACUGCUGGGACCCUUGCCAGAUGCAGAAGCAGCCACCAUCCCAAUUAGCUUAAUCUGAAGGGACAUGUACUUGCAUUUAUUUAUAAUUUGUAUUAAUUUGACAGGAGCUGUAAGCUUUGUGUAAUUCCUAGAAUAUAGUGAAAUUUUUACUUGUAACCGACACACAGAAAUGCUCCUAAUUUUCAAACCCUGGAUAAGAAUGAAUAGGUUAAAAGUCAUUCUCUCUGGCCUGGUAAAUUUGAAAAAUAAACCUUCAAGGUUGGGGUUUUAAAUCUUUACGUUUUGCCCCUUGUGAAAAUGGACAGUGGGACUUUUACUUUUCGAAAGAAAGCUGGUCCCAAUGGGAAGUGUUUGAGUUUAGGAUGUGUUAGCAGGAAGGAUUUUUCAGCAGGGCUUACCUCGUGCAAUAUAAACCUGUUAAUCUUUUUGAUCCCUAGUAUGGAUUAGACCAGACUUCAUAUACCCUGGUGUGUCGGUUUGGAUGUUGUGGGAUGGUGUAACUGCAUUUCACCAUGCAAGAGAACAAUGAGUUUGCACCUUCCAAAGCCCAAGCUGCCUACAGAGCUGCUAAAACUGUUUGGCUCACUGCUCCUUUCUCUUCCCCACCCUACAUCUUUCAGGAGGCUGUACUUGUCUUCGCCUAUGAGAUCCGCUUUGCAUAUGUACUGAGAAAUGUGUGGGUCCUGGGCCAGAAAUAUGUGAAGAAUCCAGCCUUUGGGCUUCAGAAAGUCCGCAGCUCAUACUCUAGCCCUUUCUUGCCUCUAUACCUCAAGCUCAUUAUUGGCUUCUCACUGCCCCUGCCCUGACCAUUGUGUCUCCUUUGCAUUCCUGAUUCUCUUUGGGUAUCCUACCAGGCCCUGAAUCUGCCUAACUGCCUGGACGGACUUGCCUUCCUAUUGCCCCACUUCCCACUUCCUCAGCCUAAGCUCAUCAGUCUUAUAUUAGCCCCUGACCAGCUUUAUGGAACUUCCGGGCUUGCAGUAGAAUGGAGACUUUGGCUGCGUUUAGCUCUGUUUUACGAACCUGCCAAAACAAAUAUUGGUUGAAUGAACGAACGUAUGAUUGAACGAAUGCCCCCUCCUCUGAUGAUUCCCCUUACCUGCGCCUGUAUGUCCAAUUCCAGAUGUCGCUUCGGGGCCUGGGAAACUUGCCCAUUCAGAGUGAGGUGGGCGCUGGAUGACUGCUGAGUCUGCUCUCUCCAUGUGGUGAGAACUUUGAAACUUUGCUCAUCUGUGUUUCCUAUAUCAUGGAAGCAUGAGCUUCCAAAUGCAGCCUUGGAGAAAUGAGAAACUACUUUUUUUUUUUUUUUUUUUGGUUGGCAGCAAGACCUUUCUUCUCCCUGAACCCCAGGAAAAGAAGGAUUUAAUGUUUCUUAACUUCAUAAAUCUGGCCUCAUUCUACUUGAA
rnacentral:lncRNA from 1 species